rnacentral:rRNA from 1 species
AGUGGCGGACGGUUGAGUAAUGUCUGGGAAACUGCCUGAUGGAGGGGGAUAACUACUGGAAACGGUAGCUAAUACCGCAUAACGUCGCAAGACCAAAGAGGGGGACCUUCGGGCCUCUUGCCAUCGGAUGUGCCCAGAUGGGAUUAGCUAGUAGGUGGGGUAACGGCUCACCUAGGCGACGAUCCCUAGCUGGUCUGAGAGGAUGACCAGCCACACUGGAACUGAGACACGGUCCAGACUCCUACGGGAGGCAGCAGUGGGGAAUAUUGCACAAUGGGCGCAAGCCUGAUGCAGCCAUGCCGCGUGUAUGAAGAAGGCCUUCGGGUUGUAAAGUACUUUCAGCGGGGAGGAAGGGAGUAAAGUUAAUACCUUUGCUCAUUGACGUUACCCGCAGAAGAAGCACCGGCUAACUCCGUGCCA